rnacentral:rRNA from 1 species
AUUGAACGCUGGCGGCAGGCCUAACACAUGCAAGUCGAACGGUAACAGGAAGAAGCUUGCUUCUUUGCUGACGAGUGGCGGACGGGUGAGUAAUGUCUGGGAAACUGCCUGAUGGAGGGGGAUAACUACUGGAAACGGUAGCUAAUACCGCAUAACGUCGCAAGACCAAAGAGGGGGACCUUCGGGCCUCUUGCCAUCGGAUGUGCCCAGAUGGGAUUAGCUAGUAGGUGGGGUAACGGCUCACCUAGGCGACGAUCCCUUGCUGGUCUGAGAGGAUGACCAGCCACACUGGAACUGAGACACGGUCCAGACUCCUACGGGAGGCAGCAGUGGGGAAUAUUGCACAAUGGGCGCAAGCCUGAUGCAGCCAUGCCGCGUGUAUGAAGAAGGCCUUCGGGUUGUAAAGUACUUUCAGCGGGGAGGAAGGGAGUAAAGUUAAUACCUUUGCUAAUUGACGUUACCCGCAGAAGAAGCACCGGCUAACUCCGUG